rnacentral:rRNA from 1 species
UGGGGAAUAUUGGACAAUGGGCGCAAGCCUGAUCCAGCAAUGCCGCGUGUGUGAAGAAGGCCUUCGGGUUGUAAAGCACUUUUAUCUGGAGCGAAAUCUGCAGGGCUAAUACCCAUGCAGUCUGACGGUACCAGAGGAAUAAGCACCGGCUAACUUCGUGCCAGCAGCCGCGGUAAUACGAAGGGUGCAAGCGUUACUCGGAAUUACUGGGCGUAAAGCGUGAGUAGGUGGUUUCUUAAGUCUGCUGUGAAAGCCCCGGGCUCAACCAGAGAAUUGCAGUGGAUACUGGGGAGAGAGAGUGCGGUAGAGGGUAGUGGAAUUCCCGGUGUAGCUGUGAAAUGCGUAGGGAUCGGGGGGAACACCAGUGGCGAAGGCGACUAUCUGGACCAGCACUGACACUGAGGCACGAAAGCUUGGGGAGCAAAUA